ACAGAAUUGCGAUGGAACCGCCCACCGUUACUUCACCUAGUGCUUCUCUGUCUAGAGCCUCCCCAACAUUUUCCUCUGGUCUGGAAUCGGAAGCUCACUUCUCUCUGCUCCUGGGGACAAAGGCAUAUUAUGUAAUGAAAGCCAGAGGAUGCCGAGGGCUGGAAAGUUUCAAGCAGGACAGCAAGUUCAAAGACCAAUCAUGA
rnacentral:lncRNA from 1 species